rnacentral:lncRNA from 1 species
CCAGACUAUCCUGUACAAACUGGCCACCAUGCAGGACAAUACAUUUGCUCUGAGCCUCUCAGUCCCCACCCCUUGAGUUCCUGGUGCCCUUGAAGAAUGAACCAGGCAGCCUGGCAGGCACAGAGAGAAACGGAACCCCACAGCUUCAGCCUGGCCCUGGCUCUGUGUGAAGGGGAGAUAGCUUCCACCUCCCACGGUUACCCAGUCUUAGGAAACAGAAAACCAAAGAGCUUUUGUGAUAAUGACCUUGAGGCUGAGAAUCUGCAGCCAGAGCACAUAUCUGUCACCCUAGAAUUGACAGGCGGGGUGUCUGCCCUGGUGAGCAAGAUCGUUUAUCAUGCUCAGGUAGGAACAGAGUCCUUGAGGCCCAUGCCAAGUUCUUCGCUGCAACCCCACCCAGUAGCACCCAGCGGUACCUCAGCUUUCCCAGCCAUGGUUACCUUUGGGGAUAAAUGGUGACGGUUUUUCAACAGCGUAAUUAGACCA